AACCUUUACACUGCACGACAGUGCGAUAGGGGGACUCCGAGUGUGAGGGCAUAUAGCCCUCGCUUUUCUGUACCGUAAGGUGGUACAGGAACAAGGACUGGGCAAGACCGGUGCCAGCCGCCGCGGUAAUACCGGCAGUCCGAGUGAUGGCCGAUAUUAUUGGGCCUAAAGCGUCCGUAGCUUGCUGUGUAAGUCCAUUGGGAAAUCGACCAGCUCAACUGGUCGGCGUCCGGUGGAAACUACACAGCUUGGGGCCGAGAGACUCAACGGGUACGUCCGGGGUAGGAGUGAAAUCCUGUAAUCCUGGACGGACCACCAAUGGGGAAACCACGUUGAGAGACCGGACCCGACAGUGAGGGACGAAAGCCAGGGUCUCGAACCGGAUUAGAUACCCGGGUAGUCCUGGCUGUAAACAAUGCUCGCUAGGUAUGUCACGCGCCAUGAGCACGUGGUGUGCCGUAGUGAAGACGAUAAGCGAGCCGCCUGGGAAGUACGUCCGCAAGGAUGAAACUUAA
rnacentral:rRNA from 1 species